CCCCCCCCUUUAGUCCGCCAUCUCAACCCUUCAACUGUCCGAAACGAUGAGAUUUUCAGGAACAUUCCUUCUGAUUGCCUGCGAUGUUUGCAGCUUUUCAUUUCUUUAGCCAACUCCUAUGGAGAGCUAAGAAGAAGUUCUUCCCCCAAAUUGAGUCAUGGCUAGAGCAAGUUGUAUAAUUUUGCUUAUUUUCUUUGUUUCUUUCUUUGUGUCCUAAGCUACCUCUUGUAGUUGGUCUCCCUUUCUUUUUUGUUUUCUUUUAAGACAUUUGUUCCCUUGUUUUGCUUUAAUAUAUUUCUAGUAGGAGCUUUUCUGCCCCUCCUGUUCUCUGAAAAAAAACAAUUAUAUCCAUUUCUUUCUCAAAUAUAUGUAGCAGAAUUACGUACAUUCUUUAUUUCAAAUUAUAAAUUUUACUUUUACUUUAUCUUAAAUCAACUCCAUAGUUUUAAUGAAGUUUAUAAAAAAUUUUAUGAACACCUAUUAUAUCAAAUAUUAUAGUUUCGUUAAAUUAUUUAUAAAAUAUAUUUUGAUAGCGCAUUGGUUCAAACUUUUAUACAUCAAUAUGUUUUUUCUAAAGACAUGGUUGAAAUUAGAAAAGUUUUAUUUCUAUAAUAAAGAUAAUAAGAUGACUAUAAUUUAGAAUGGAGAAAGUGUAAUUGCAUUAAGGCGCCGGAGAGAAAAAAAAUAAAGCACAACAAACCCAAACCCAUUCAACUCACUCGGGGCGUUCGGUCAGACCCAACCGAAUCGAUCGGUUCAGCCAUUUUGAAAGUUUGGUGAUCAGAAAACAAGGAUCGAUCGGUUAGUUGAAAAAAUAAAGACUGAGUAAUUUCGGUCUCGGUUACUUUGAUUCGGUCUCGGUCACAACCGAACUAACCAGACCAGCUUAGGAGACCAAAAAAAUAACAGAAUUUCUAUCAAAUUUCAGCAGCAUGUUUACACAAAAUAAUACAAAAUCUUGGUUCUCUUAUUCAAAUAUUAACUACAGCAGCAUUUCACAACUCACAAGUCACAAACUCACAAUGACACAACAAAAACAGCACACAGUCAAGUCUUUAAAAAGAUAAAAAAAACAGUCCAAGACUCCCAAUAGAGAAAUUCGGUU
rnacentral:lncRNA from 1 species